AACGAACGCUGGCGGCACGCCUAACACAUGCAAGUCGAGCGCUACCUUCGGGUGGAGCGGCGGACGGGUUAGUAACGCGUGGGAACAUACCCUUUACUAAGGAAUAGCCACUGGAAACGGUGAGUAAUACCUUAUACGCCCUUCGGGGGAAAGAUUUAUCGGUGAAGGAUUGGCCCGCGUUAGAUUAGAUAGUUGGUGGGGUAACGGCCUACCAAGUCUACGAUCUAUAGCUGGUUUGAGAGGAUGAUCAGCAACACUGGGACUGAGACACGGCCCAGACUCCUACGGGAGGCAGCAGUGGGGAAUCUUAGACAAUGGGCGCAAGCCUGAUCUAGCGAUGCCGCGUGAGUGACGAAGGUCUUAGGAUCGUAAAGCUCUUUCGCCAGGGAUGAUAAUGACAGUACCUGGUAAAGAAACCCCGGCUAACUCCGUGCCAGCAGCCGCGGUAAUACGGAGGGGGUUAGCGUUGUUCGGAAUUACUGGGCGUAAAGCGUACGUAGGCGGAUCAGAAAGUUGGGGGUGAAAUCCCAGGGCUCAACCCUGGAACUGCCUCCAAAACUAUUGGUCUAGAGUUCGAGAGAGGUAAGUGGAAUUCCGAGUGUAGAGGUGAAAUUCGUAGAUAUUCGGAGGAACACCAGUGGCGAAGGCGGCUUACUGGCUCGAUACUGACGCUGAGGC
rnacentral:rRNA from 1 species